AGUGAACGCUGGCGGUAGGCCUAACACAUGCAAGUCGAACGGCAGCACAGUAAGAGCUUGCUCUUACGGGUGGCGAGUGGCGGACGGGUGAGGAAUACAUCGGAAUCUACUUUUUCGUGGGGGAUAACGUAGGGAAACUUACGCUACUACCGCAUACGACCUACGGGUGAAAGCAGGGGAUCUUCGGACCUUGCGCGAUCGAAUGAGCCGAUGUCGGAUUAGCUAGUUGGCGGGGUAAGGGCCCACCAAGGCGACGGUCCUUACCUGGUCUGAGGGGGUGAUCAGCCACACUGGAACUGGAACACGGUCCAGACUCCUACGGGGGGCAGCAGUGGGGAAUAUUGGACAAUGGGCGAAGGCCUGAUCCAGCCAGACCGGGUGGGGGAAGAAGGCCUUCGGGUUGUAAAGCCCGUUUGUUGGGAAAGAAAAGCAGCAGGUUAAUACCCCGCUGUUCUGACGGUACCCAAAGAAUAAGCACCGGCUAACUUCGUG
rnacentral:rRNA from 1 species